UUUUGAAGUUGACUGCUGGGGAUGUUUCAUUGAUACCUGUGUAAUGUUACAAUUCCACUGACAAAGUCUGUCCUUUCCUGUACAUCCUGGCUGUGUCCUCACACACCUGAGAGCUCUGCUGCUGAACCAGGUCAUCUAAAGAUGCCUUCAAGAUACCAUUGUACUCUUUGUGAUGUUUGAAGUGGAGGACUGAAUCUUGCCUGUAUCAGCAUAAGGGAAUGAAUUUGCAAGGCUAUCCAGGGCUGUGUGAGCAUGAUGCCAGCUCAUGCAGGGGGAAAAGCGAUGCAGAACAAGGAGAAGGAGGAAGCAGGAUCAGCACAGCAGCAAGAGCAGCAACUUAGGAUUGCUUACAUGAGCAGGAUCUGGCCCAGUUGUUACUGGAGUAUUGUGGAAAACGCAAGAUCGCAUUUGUAUGAGGCUCAUUUCCCAAAAUAUAACAUGGGAUUAAUGGUUUUGGCUCUCCUAAAUGGCUCUUUGUGAUGUCCCAUCCUCUGUUUCUUGAAUAUGCUGAUGGGUUUGAUGCUGGAGAUUCCCCAGGACUUUGUCCCAAGGCUUUGUUCCUGAGUGGCAGAAGUCACUGCUCUGAGAGGCACAGAGACCUGCUGCCCUCAGCAGCACUCUGCAGGCAGAGAUUUUCUUGCCUGCUUCUACUGCUUCAUCUUAAUCAAAUGCAUUUAUUUGAGGUUGGAAGAAGCUGAAGCUUGCCCAGGUUCACUCUGCUUUAGUUGUAAAUGUGAAACCAACCAAGACACAGUGAGUUUUGCUCUUAGCUUCAGCUUGCAGUGAGUACGUUUGCCUCUCCAUCCAUCCAGGACAAAAUGUUUCUGAGGCUAUUUUGAGAUUUGUUGGGCAGAAAAAUGUUAUAACCUCACAACACUGGGGGCCGCAUAGAGAAUAUUAGCUGUGGUGGGUAUACUUCAGGUCUGUCUCAGCAAAACGUUAUCCCACCAUUCAUUUCCAUGCAUCCUGACAAUCACAUGUUCAUGAAUGGUGACUUGCCCACUUGCAGCAGUUAUGCUGUUUCUAGCAUUGGUCAGCAGCCCCUUAAGCACGUUUCCCUUUCUGCCCUCCUCCUGUGCCACUUUGCUGUCCUUCCUUUCCCUACAGAGAUCUCUCUGUUUCUGCAGAAUCUCAGGUAACUCCUCGGAGGCACUCACACAUUUCAUAAGCAAAAACAGGCUGAAAGGGAAGCCAAGGAGCCUGUUUUGGAUGCUACAUGUACAUAACUAUGUAUUACAGAAAGCCUAAUAUGCCCUGGUAAACUUUACUUAACAGACUACUUAAUCUCUACAAAUGCUAACCUCCAGGUUUUUAUUUACGGAGCUGGUGUUUUAUGAUGCCAUUGUCUAAUUGAAAUGUGUUCAUUCCUUCUCCAAGUGCCGCUGCUAAGCAUUUUACUGAUAUAUAGCACGAGGGCUGGAUGGGAUUUUUUUUUUCUUUCAGAGUAAACUUGGGAGACAGAUGGUGUUCAGGCGGUACAGAUGUGACAGCUUCUAUUGCCUUUUUAAUGGAGCUUUUCUUGCCAGCAAAGCACUUUUGUUUUCAAAUGAAAAAAUUGUAAUUUUCGCUGGCAUUGUAGAAAAACAAGCAGCAAUGCAGGAGGAAGGAGAUUUAGAGUUGUAUGUCUGCAGCAAUGAGGGGGCUUCAUAAACCAGAGCUGGCGGCUGCCUGAGCUCAGCUCUCCUCUCUCAUGGGCUUUGCCCAUGAGCCCAUGGAGCAGCUUGGGCAGCAGUUGGGCCCUCAGCCAUCCCUGUCUCUGCUGAAGCUUUCCAAAGAGCCCAUGGCUUGUUCUGUUGGUACAGACAGGGAGGUCGGGGAUGGAAGGCACUGGGAGGUCUGGGAACGGCCUCGGAGUGCUUGAUAUGGGGCCAGCAGGGUGGGCAUGGACCAGUCCCCAGCCUCGAGGUGGACUUGGGAGCAGACUGUCUGAGCCAGUUGGCGCUCAGUGUACCAUCCAAAUCCUUGCGUGUUGGGAAGGUUCAGAACAACAUAUAUAUAUAUAUAUAUAUAUUUUGGCAAUGUGGGUGUGUUUUGUUGGUUGGGUUGAGUUUUUUUUUGUGUGUUUUUUUUUUCUCCUUGUCCAGCUCAGGAGCUUGGAAGCAACAAAAGAAGUGCUCUUUCAUUCAAUGCCAGGAAAAUGCUGUUAUUUAUCAGGGAUAGAAAUGGCAAUGUUAUUUCGCAUGGCGGAUAACCGAUCCUUUGAAACUCGCUAUCUCAGGUUGGCACAAAGGUGAAGGGCUCAGCAGAAGAGGCGCAGUUCAACUCCUCUGCAGAGCAUCUCAGGGCAGUCCCACUGCAAUGUU